rnacentral:rRNA from 1 species
AUGGCCGCAGCUGCAGCACUAGCCAGUUCCACGAAAGAAGUGCUCCCGCCUGCACUGGGCGCCGUCUCCGAGCCCCCUACCCUCUUCGAUGGCACCACCAGACUGUACAUUUGCUACACCUGCCCGUUUGCUCAGCGCGCCUGGGUUACCCGGAACUGCAAGGGUCUGCAGGAGGAGAUCAAGCUUGUCGCCAUCAAUCUGGAGGACAAACCAGCAUGGUACAAGGAGAAUGUUUACCCACAGGGCACGGUGCCUUCCCUGGAGCACGACGGCAAGGUCACCGGAGAGAGCUUGGAUUUGAUCAAGUACAUCGACACCAAUUUCCAAGGCCCGGCACUGCUUCCUCAAGAUCCGGCUAAGAGGCAGUUCGCCGAUGAGCUGAUUGCUUACGCUGACGCCUUUACCAAAGCACUCUACUCGCCCUUGAUCUCCCAAGUGGCCAUUUCAGAUGAAGCUGUUGCUGCUCUAGACAAGAUCGAAGCUGCCCUGUCCAAGUUCAGUGACGGCCCGUUCUUCCUUGGCCAAUUUAGCUUGGUGGAUAUUGCGUACGUGACCAUCUUGGAGAGGGUUCAGAUAUACUACUCUCACCUGAGGAACUACGAGAUCGCCAAAGACAGGCCCAACCUUGAGAGAUACACCGAGGAGAUGAACAAGAUCGAAGCCUAUAAGCAAACCAAAAAUGUCCCGCUGACCUUGCUUGAUGCUGCCAAGAGGCAUCUCAAGAUUGCCUGA